UCGGACGUCCGGACUUUCAUAAUUAACCGGACUGGUUAUCAUACUUUCUAAGCAGCUCCUCUCAUUUUUUCAAAAUAUUAGUAUCCUGUCAAAACUUAACUAACCACGAUAAAAUUAGAGAGUUAAUAUGUUUAAUAAUACAAUAUUAUUAAUGCAACAAUAAAUAUUAAGCGCUAAACACGUCACAUACAUAAUAAAGAUAUCUAUGAGUGCAUGAAAAUUAAAUAAAAAUGAACUCAUCUGGAUUUUUUGUAAUGGUUGAUUUCAUGAUUUUCGUCUCCGAACUUCAACAAACUCAAUGUCACGGACUAGCUCCUCCGUUUUAACACAGCCCCACACAAUUUCCGUUACAGCAUCUUCCUCUUUUAACAUUAGGACAUUCAUAACCACCUGUAUAUACUCAACAAGCCUGCAAGUUUCACUAGUUUUCUACUCCAAAAUAAAUGACCACAUGAAACAAUAAAAUGUUAAAUUAUAUCAUAUUAAAUUAUGACACAUAUAAAUCAUAUGCAAAAAAUGUACUCAUGCUCUAUGCAUACUAAUAAAUGUUAAAACAAUGUUCUUUGUGCACCUCGAUAUAUACACGAUAUUAAUAAAUAAAUAUUAAUAUAAGAAUAAAAUAAUGUUAAUAAGUAAUCAAAAGAAUAAAAAGGAAGCACAUAUCUUUGUUCCGUUUGCUCGAUCGCAUCAAGCCACCUAUGAUCCUUUCCGCACAAACAUAUAAACAUGGCAUACGCAUACCACGUACAUCUAUAUUUGCUUCUGGUUUAAUUAUCGCACGUCUCAUUUAUUCCUCUCUUGUGUUUUACGCACCAUUCAUAGAUAAACCUGAAUGUACCAUAAAGAUUCUACGCAUAUAUAAUUUUAGUCCAAAGCAAUAGAUCAUUAUAAACAGUUAGUCAAGCAUAAUAUAAAUUUUAAACUCAUAUCACAAUAAUUAAGAUUAUAUAUAUAUAAUAAUAUAAUCUGAUGAAAGAAUUAUGAAAGACUUAUCUCAUAAUAUGCUUCUAGUGAAUGUAGGAUACCCUGGCGCUUUAAUCUGCCAAUAGCUGACGAAGCAGAGCUGCAGUCGUCGUUGCAAUCUGUUGGAUCUUAGACCAACGGCAGAAUCUUUGAAGCAUAAUCUGGGUAGCACCCUAAAUUCCAUCUCAAAAUCCAAACUGACAACUUAGAUAUAAUUAGCAAAUUAGACACGGAGAGGGAGAGUUUUGUUAAACAAAGAUUAUGUGUGUGCAUAGAUCAAAAGAUAAAUCCACCAGGGACAUAAUCAAAAAGAAAGUCGACGCAAACUUCUUGAUGACCCUGGAUGAUACUCUAGCAAGUUAAACCAUAAAAUCAAUUAAAAUCUUUAUUAUAUACAUACAAACAAUUGCACAAAAUCAAUUCACCAGCAGAUUAAUAAAGAAAAGGAAUAACUUAUCUUUUUAACGAGCCGAUACGUAAGCAUGGUGAAGCCAGUAUACACUCGUUGGUUCCUACCACCUUCGUCGCCCCUUUAGGCUUGGUGUAGACACCAUCAUGCCAUACACAUGACCUGUUUAACGAGCCAAUGAUUCGCAGAUGGUCCGGUAAUUGUUAUCCUGACUUUUCCUUGUCCGGUAUCUUUGCGCACUUCACCAUCUUCUCUGUUCGCUGUGAUCUCACCGUUGGUACAGCGGAGCAGCCUGGGAUGCACUCGCAACUGAAUACUCUGUUAAACAAUCUUAAUACUCCAUAAGACAACUGGAUUAUGAUAUAAAUCACAUAAAUCGGUGCUGAGUUGCAAGACGGGUCACUAC
rnacentral:lncRNA from 1 species